AGCGAACGCUGGCGGCAUGCCUAACACAUGCAAGUCGAGCGCUCCCAGCAAUGGGGGAGCGGCGGACGGGUGAGUAACGCGUAGGAACGUAUCCUGAGGUGGGGGAUAACCCUGGGAAACUAGGGCUAAUACCGCAUGAUGGCGAGAGCCCAAAGAUUUAUCGCCUUGGGAGCGGCCUGCGUCUGAUUAGCUUGUUGGUGGGGUAACGGCCUACCAAGGCGAUGAUCAGUAGCUGGUCUGAGAGGAUGAUCAGCCACACUGGGACUGAGACACGGCCCAGACUCCUACGGGAGGCAGCAGUGGGGAAUAUUGGACAAUGGGCGAAAGCCUGAUCCAGCAAUGCCGCGUGGAUGAAGAAGGUCUUCGGAUUGUAAAGUCCUUUCGGCGGGGACGAUGAUGACGGUACCCGCAGAAGAAGCCCCGGCUAACUCGUG
rnacentral:rRNA from 1 species